CGGGCGGUGACAUCCACGCCCCCCAUGUCCCCAACCGUGUCCCCACGGCCAUCCUCGCUGACCCCAAAGGCCGGGAUGUCCCCGUCCCCGUGGGGCACGACCCCAAUGUCCCCUCGGGGGGGGACAUCCCUGCCCCCCAAGUCCUGCGGGGCUGAGAUGGCCUCGGCCCCAAACUCUUUGUCCCCAAACUCUUUGUCCCCAAUCUCUUUGUCCCCAAACUCUUUGUCCCCAAACUCUUUGUCCCCAAUCUCUUUGUCCCCAACAUCCCUGUCCCCAAUCUCUUUGUCCCCAAUCUCUUUGUCCCCAAACUCUUUGUCCCCAAACUCUCUGUCCCCAAACUCUCUGUCCCCAAAGUCCCUUAGGGUUGGGACCUGGAUGUCCCCAACCUCCUCAUCCCAAACAUCUCCUGGGGUUGGGAUGUCCCCAUUGUCCUUGUCCCCAAAGGCCUUAGGGGGUGGGACAUCCUUGUCCCCAGCAUCCUUGUCCCCAAAGCCGAUAGGGGAUGGGACAUUCAUGUCCCUAAAGUCCUUGUCCCCAAAGGCCUUAGGGGGUGGGAUGUCCUUGUCCCCAACGUCCUUGUCCCCAAAGGCCUUAGGGGAUGGGACGUCCUUGUCCCCAAAGCCCAUGGGGGAUGGGACAUCCUUGUCCCCAAAGUCCUUGUCCCCAAAGCCCAGAGGGGAUGGGACGUCCUUGUCCCCAAAGCCCAUGGGGGAUGGGACAUCCUUGUCCCCAACAUCCUUGUCCCCAAAGUCCUUGUCCCCAAAGCCUGUGACAGAUGGGACAUCCUUGUCCCCAGCAUCCUUGUCCCCAAAGCCAAUAGGGGAUGGGACUUCCUUGUCCCCAAAGUCCUUGUCCCCAAUGUCCUUGUCCCCAAUGCCCAUGAGAUAUGGGACGUCCUUGUCCCCAAAGUCCAUGGGGGAUGGGACAUCCUUGUCCCCAAAGUCCUUGUCCCCAAAGCCCAUGGGGGAUGGGACACCCUUCUCUCCAAUGUCCUUGUCCCCAAUAUCCUUGUCCCCAAUGCCAUUAGGGGAUGGGACAUCCUUGUCCCCAGUGUCCUUGUCCCCAAAGCCCACUGGGGACGGGACAUCCCUGUCCCCACCACCCUCGCCCCCAAAGUCCUCAUCCCCCAUGGUUGGGACAGGCUUUUCCUUGGUGUCCUCGUCCUUAGGGGUUGUGACAUCCUUGUCCCCAAUGUCCCUUACGGUUGGGAUGUCCCCAAUGUCCCUUACGGUUGGGAUGUCCCCAAUGUCCCUUACGGUUGGGAUGUCCCCAAUGUCCUCGUCUCCAGCAGCCAAGACACCCCCAUUCCCACUGCCCUUCUCCAUACUGGGAACGGGGACAUCCCAAACUUCGUCCCUUGGGGUGGUGGCAUUCCCGUCCCCAAAGCCCUUGUCCCCAUCAUCCCAUACACCUAUGACAUCCCUGUCCCCGUCACCCUCAUCCUCGUGGACCGGGACAUCCUUGUCCCCAUAGAUGGAGACAUCCCUGCCCCCCAUAUCCCCCGGGGUUGGGACAUCCCUGUCCCCAACACCCCUUGGUGUCACCACCUCUGUCACCUCAGUGUCCUUUAGGGCUGUGACAUCAAUGCCAUCCCCGUCCCCAAAACCCUUCAGGGUUGGGACAUCUCUGUCACGUGGAACGGGGACGUCCCCGCGCCCCACAUCCGCACCCCCAAUGUCCUCAGCGGUGUCCCCAAUGUCCCCAACGUCCUCGGUGUCCCCAAUGUCCCAAAUGUCCUCGAUGUCCUCAUCCGCCGGUGCCACCGUCACAGUGAUGGUGAUGCCGCUGGCCCAAGGAGUGACGGUGACCUCGGGGACAUCGACGUCCCCUUUGGGGACACCGCUGUCCCCCUCUGUCACCUCCCCAGGGAGGGGACACCCCUCAGCCAUGGGUCCUGGGGGGGGGGACAAAUGGGGACAGCGAUGUCACUGCUGGUGACACGGAAACAUGGAGGGGAAUGGGGGGGACGUGGGGGGAACACGGAGGGGAUGGUGGUACCUGGGUCCUGGUUUUGGGGUCUCAGUGCCGGAUUUUGGGGUCCCCAAUGUUGAUUUUUGGGUCCAAGUGGUGAAAUUUGGGGUCCCAGUGACGGAAUUUGGGGUCUUGGUGUUGGGUUUGGAGUCCAAGUGCUGAAAUUUGGGGUCCCAGAGCUGGAUUUUGGGGUCCCCAAUGCUGAUUUUUGGGUCCAAGUGGUGAAAUCUGGGGUCCCAGUGCCGGAUUUGGGGGUCUCCAAUGCUGAUUUUUGGGGUCCAAGUGGUGAAAUUUGGGGUCCCAGUGCUGGAAUUUGGGGUCUUGGUGUUGGGUUUGGAGUCCGAGUGCUGAAAUUUGGGGUCUCAGUGCCGGAUUUUGGGGUCCCCAAUGCUAAUUUUUGGGUCCAAGUGGUGAAAUUUGGGGUCCCAGUGCCAGAUUUUGGGGUCCUUGAUGCUGAUUACAUCGUCAUGGGUCUGCUUUUGGGGUCCCAGGGUAGAUUUUGGGGUCCCACUUUAAGGUCCUGGUCUCAGUUUUGGGGUCCCGGUGCUGAUAUUGGGGUCCAAUUUCCAGGUCCUGCUGCUGAUUUUGGGGUCCCACUUACAAGGUCCUGGUCUCAGUUUUGGGGUCCCGGUGCUGAUAUUGGGGUCCCAGUUUGGGGGUCCCGUUGCUGUUUUUGGGGUCUCAAUUCCAAGCUCCCAAUUCCAGUUUCGGGAUCCAAUUCCAGAAUCCUGCUGCUGGUUUUGGGGUCCCACCUCCAGUUUUGGGGUCCCAGCCUCACAGUCACGGCGCUGAUUUUAGGGUCCCCAUUCUGAAGUCCAGGUGCCGACUGGGGGGGCGGAGAGGGGGGGGGGGGGGGUCCUGGUUCCAGUUUGGGGGUCCCAAUUUUAGGGUUCUGCUUCUGGGGUUCGAGUUUCAGCCUUCUAUACCCUUUC
rnacentral:lncRNA from 1 species